rnacentral:rRNA from 1 species
GUCCACGCCGUAACGAUGACUGCUAGGUGUCGGUAGCAAGCUAUUCGGUGCCGCAGCUAACGCAAUAAGCAGUCCACCUGGGAGUACGUUCGCAAGAAUGAACUCAAAGGAAUUGACGGGACCCGCACAAGCGGUGGAGCAUGUGGUUAAUUCGAAGCAACGCGAAGAACCUUACCAAAUCUUGACAUCCCGAUGACCGGCAUUUAAUUUGCCUUUCUUCGGAACAUCGGUGACAGGUGGUGCAUGGUUGUCGU